rnacentral:rRNA from 1 species
GGACUACUAGGGUAUCUAAUCCUGUUUGCUCCCCACGCUUUCGUAGUUGAGUGUCAGUACUUGUCCAGGUCGCCGCCUUCGCCUCUGGUGUUCCUCCCGAUCUCUACGCAUUUCACCGCUACACCGGGAAUUCCACGACCCUCUCCAAGACUCCAGUCUCACCGUUUCCGGGGCACUUCUCGAGUUAAGCUCGAGGCUUUCACCCCAGACAAAUGAGACCACCUACCUACCCUUUACGCCCAAUGAUUCCGAGCAACGCUUGCACCCUCUGUAUUACCGCGGCUGCUGGCAC